rnacentral:rRNA from 1 species
AUGGCCGCCAUGACCAACAACUGCGGAAUCGCGGUUUGCAGGGUUGGUUGUCCACUUGGCGGGUGGACCAUAUAUGGAUGUCAUAUGUCGGGAUUCAUGGACAUUGCCUUUUGCAAUGGUGAGCUCUAUGGCAUUCAACCGGGUUGCGAUAAACUCAUCAAAUUUGUGAUCCGUGUGAAGAAGGAUGUCGCUCCGGUGGUCACCGAAAAGUACCGGAUAAACAUGCUUAGAGUAGACCGUCCAUCACCGUGGAGCACUUGCAAUGAGUACGCAUGUUACAUCGUGGAUCUACAUGGGAAGUGUACGAUUGUGAUGAUUAACCGGCGGUGCUUUUCCCCGAGGCCUUUCUUUAGGAUGUUCGAGCUCAUCGACGCUACCACUUGGUCUGAGGUGACCAGCUUGGGCGACCAUGCCUUAUUCUUGGGACAGAAAUUUUCCAAGGUAGUGCACAUGCCAGCAGAUAGGCUUGGCGACAUAGAGAGAAAUCACAUCUACUACUGCAACCGCCGCUACCUACGUCUAAGCAAUACAGUCAAUGGUGAUGAGGUGUUCUUGACGAUCUCACAAAGCGAUGGCGACCUUAAGUAUCACAAGGAACAUUACAUCAAGAGCAUUGCCGACUAUUUCAAGAUCAGAUCGGUAGGUUACUUCAUGGAAGAUUGUCGAUAUGAUAGCAUGUGGCUUCUUCCUCCUGAUAUCUAG